rnacentral:lncRNA from 14 species
GAAGGAGAAUGGAAAUUUAAUGGAGAAGUGAAUCCUGCCCCCAGUUAUCAGAGCUUUGUUUGAGACAGUCCUGAACUGAAAUAAUGGAAUCCGGAUUCCUUGAUAUACAAAAAGAUUUAGGUGUGUAUGAACCUGAGUACUGAGGUAUAGGGAGCUACCUUCAAUUUCAAUUGAGGAAAGAAAUUUGGACAUUCUUGACAGGAGCCACAGGAGCUGAAAUCAGAAGAGAAUCUCACCAGAGAUUAACAAACACGCAUGGAUUUAUGAAACUGCAUUUGAUAUCCAACCAAGGCAAGGAGCCCUGCUGAAUUCAGGAAGAAGUCCUGGAGAGGUGCUGCCUCCUUCCAAGAUGUCGGGGUGAA